GGACGGGUGGCGCAAUGGUAGCGCGUUGGUUUUCGGCGUCUCUGAUAAAUACUCCACAGACUUAUCGGAUGGCUGGCUCACCAAAGGUUGUGGAUUCGAGUCCCACCUCGUUCG
rfam:Talaromyces stipitatus ATCC 10500 scf_1105507295487 genomic scaffold, whole genome shotgun sequence.